UAGCUUCUGAGACCAAAGAGUCCUUCAAUGUCACCCCUUCUUUUUAGCUCCCACUUUGAUUCAUUUGGCACCUGUUUGAGGACUUUCCACAAUGGGGCACUUACGACUCAUGAGGACCACCUCCUCCAUCACUGGACCGGAACUAAUAAAAGCUUCAUGGAGAUUUACAGACAUCUAAUGAAAUCAGGAGCAUGGGAUUCCAUACUUACCUGUUCCAGUUCGUAUUUGGAAAUUCCACCUGACCAGCUUUGAAAAGCAGAAUGGAAACCAGUCAAGAAAUUGGGCAUAUUGAUCUCCAGCCUUCACAGACAGGGACACCUUGAAAGUCCGUGUCCCGCUCUCCAGCAUGUCGAGUAUGUCACCUUACAUGGUCACCUCCGAGAGCUGUCCACCACUUCUGAUCAUGUGGCACUGCCUCCCAGUGCUGUUGCCUGCAUUGCUGUCCAGUCCAGCAUCUGGUGCUGUCCAGCUGGGCCUUCAGACUGUGGCUGCGGGCUGCUAUGGUGUCAUCUCAGCAACCCUGCUUCUGAGCACCUCUAGCUGCGGUGAGUUGGAUCCUGGCCUCUGCUUGCCAGGAUGCCAAGAGCUCCAGGCCCUCAUUGAUGGGACAGUGCCAUCUUGAACAAGUGGACUUUUGUUUGGGACCUCUGGACGCUAUGGACACUCUCUGGGCUGAGGAGUUCCACAUGGACAUAGGAGAUGAUGUUUCCCUUGGGAGGGAAGAUCAAAGCCGCCCUGGGUCUACGUGCUGUUACGUUUGACUUACGGUCUUCGCAGUUUCUGCUCCCACCGCCCGCCGGGCUCUGAGAUAAAGUGCGCUCAACAUUUUGGAAGAGCAAAGAAUUCAGAGAAAAAUCUGUAGCUACAUAGCACCUUAGCCCAUUGUUUCAAACAGAAAGGCUCAAGGUUUUGGUUAGAGAGAGAAAUGUUUAUGGCCUGUCUGUGAGUACCUGCCCCUACACAACCCAUUUUGAAAGGCAAUAGUUAGUAAUGCAAAUAGCAGGUGACUCCUAACUGAUGCUAGAGAAGUCGGCCAGAAGCAAGGAGCCCCUUAAAUACACUUGAUAAAUGUUAACAAGCAAACAGGCAGGCAAGCCACUGGAAGGGAGAUCCUGAGGCUAAAUACGGGAUCUUAAUAAUUCCUAAAGCUUAGAGUCCAGCCCCACACCUGUCCUUGGAGAUCAACAAAUGUUUGUUGGAGGACUGGAUCCAUGAAUCAACCCAUCCCCAGAGCACUGAGUGCCCCAGGAGGUUAACCUGGAAAGCCGGGAAAAUGAUGGUACCAUGGAGAAAAAAGGGAAAAAACACAUUGGUCAAUACGUCCAGAUGACAGUGAAUAUCCAGUUGCUCAUGGGCAGCAGGUAGCUGAAAAGAGAGGACUCGGGAUUAUUUUUGAUGAUCAGAAGCAUCAAAUCAGCUCUUAGCUAAGGACCCUCGAUCAUAUUUGGUAUAAUCCUUCUAAAGAAGUAGGGAUCCUUUGGGUGUGUCCAAAUGGAGCAACUAGGACCAUGUAGGGCUGAGAACUGUCACUAGAGCAACAUCUACACGCUGCAUUGUGCUGUCUUUGCGUUUGGGAGCCUGACGGACAUCAGGGAUAGACUUGUUCUGUGUCGCUGCUGGGAGACAAUUUGCAAUGAGUCUCAUGUUUCUGCUCAAGUUGCAUCAAGGCACGGGUUGCUCUUUGUUCCAGACUAUCUUUCCAAGGAUGCUUGUGUUGAAAACAGCCUUGGAAAGCAGAGAUAACAUCUCCCUUCAGAGAAACACACAGAUUUGUUUCCUCCCCUGGACGCAGGGUGUCCUUCUCCUGAACAGAGUGCAGCCACGCUCCCUGCUCCUUCUAAAGAUCUGAACUCCCUAAACCUAGGGUUUCUCUCCUGCAUCCCAACCCACCUGUGUGCAGGUGUCGUCUGGGAACAUUUCUUAUUCUCUUUCUUUUGUU